rnacentral:rRNA from 1 species
GUAUAAGAGACAGCAGUAGCCACGGGAAUACGGAGGGUGCAAGCGUUAAUCGGAAUUACUGGGCGUAAAGCGCACGCAGGCGGUCUGUCAAGUCAGAUGUGAAAUCCCCGGGCUUAACCUGGGAACUGCAUUUGAAACUGGCAGGCUAGAGUCUUGUAGAGGGGGGUAGAAUUCCAGGUGUAGCGGUGAAAUGCGUAGAGAUCUGGAGGAAUACCGGUGGCGAAGGCGGCCCCCUGGACAAAGACUGACGCUCAGGUGCGAAAGCGUGGGGAGCAAACAGGAUUAGAUACCCCAGUAGUCCCUGUCUCUUAUAC